AUCGUGCUGAAAACUGGAAGUGCUUGUGCUGCUCCUACACCGGCCGCCCCAUCACGUUGGCAAUACUGAUCAAGUUUCACAAAACAUUUGACACCCGUCGUCAUACUUCCUCUGGUCAUUGGCAACAUUGUAAAUUCAUUAGCGAAACAAGAUGACCCGACUCAGCAAGGAAACUCCUUUUGGUAUCUCUUCGAAUGGUCAGACGGGCCAAACCAGUUUUUGAGUGAUUUGUCUUGACCGUCCAAGAAUGUAGGACCGCUGUUAUACCGUGAACGGAGCAUCGAAAAUUGAGCAGCCUGGAGUUAAAAACGAUACCUUUCUGUGAAUUACCAUUCCUCAUCGCGGAAAUAAAGUGAAGACAACUGCUACCUCUGAGAUUGCAACUUGAAUAUUGUCGAAUGUCAUGAUAAAAAGUCCUCAUAGGAUGGUUACUGAUGAGUUGAAAGGAAUCUUCAAACAGCUCUUCAUAUCAUUCAUCGGAAUUUCGUGCAAGAGAAUUAGCAGUCAAAUGAAAUUGGAUUGUUGGAAUAACGUCUCAUGAUAUCCCGGCAACGUCCAAACAGCGAAAUAGGUAGUCAAUUUCUCUUACAAGGCAAUCUCGAUCAAUACCGUUUGGCCACCUAAAGAUAGUUAGGAUGAUGUGGAAUUCUAGACCAAAAUUGCAUAAAAAUUCA